rnacentral:rRNA from 1 species
UACGAAGGGGGCUAGCGUUGCUCGGAAUCACUGGGCGUAAAGCGCACGUAGGCAGCUUUCUAAGUCAGGGGUGAAAUCCUGGAGCUCAACUCCAGAACUGCCUUUGAUACUGGAGAGCUUGAGUCCGGAAGAGGUGAGUGGAACUCCGAGUGUAGAGGUGAAAUUCGUAGAUAUUCGGAAGAACACCAGUGGCGAAGGCGGCUCACUGGUCCGGUACUGACGCUGAGGUGCGAAAGCGUGGGGAGCAAACAGG